rnacentral:rRNA from 1 species
GUGGGGAAUAUUGGACAAUGGGCGAAAGCCUGAUCCAGCCAUGCCGCGUGUGUGAAGAAGGUCUUCGGAUUGUAAAGCACUUUAAGUUGGGAGGAAGGGUAGUAACCUAAUACGUUGCUACUUUGACGUUACCGACAGAAUAAGCACCGGCUAACUUCGUGCCAGCAGCCGCGGUAAUACGAAGGGUGCAAGCGUUAAUCGGAAUUACUGGGCGUAAAGCGCGCGUAGGUGGUUCAGCAAGUUGGAGGUGAAAUCCCCGGGCUCAACCUGGGAACUGCCUCCAAAACUACUGAGCUAGAGUACGGUAGAGGGUAGUGGAAUUUCCUGUGUAGCGGUGAAAUGCGUAGAUAUAGGAAGGAACACCAGUGGCGAAGGCGACUACCUGGACUGAUACUGACACUGAGGUGCGAAAGCGUGGGGAGCAAACAGGAUUAGAAACCCGAGUAGUCC